GGAUACAGAGCAGCUGGUGACAUUGAAAGGGAAAACUGUCAUUGAUUACUCACUGAGUGUUAAUUAUUGUCAUUAAUUUUUGAAUUAGCUCGUAACUCAACCACUAGUUACAUGUACCAGCUGGUACAAAUGAGCUCAUUAAUACCUCAUCUACUGGGAAAAGUGCAGGAGAUGAGGUAUCUCCAUUACAUUUAAUUAAGUGAAGACUUGCUUUCUGUCAUUUUUGAUUUCUUACGUUAUCUCUCAAAGUCUCCUUAUUCUGAAGAGCUCAUCUUACCAUUAGUGGUACAACUGUACAUGUUUAAUGCUAGUCUUUGGAUCAGGGCCAGUAAGAAGGUUCAGAUAUAUCUGUACAGUCGCUUAGCCACUGAGUUCUGUAUGUCUAAACUGGGCACUGCAUCACUUGAUUUAUGUGACAUUAUUGGAGUGAACCAGUUAAUGUUCAUUCUUAAGGAACACUACACACUAACUAAUGGAAAGAAAACUAACAAAGACAUUAGACCAUAUCUUAUACUGAUGAUUAAACAAUUAGCUACUAAAGGUAAAGGAAUACGCAAAUUCUACUCUACAUUGUACU